rnacentral:rRNA from 1 species
UACAGAGGGGGCAAGCGUUAUUCGGAAUUAUUGGGCGUAAAGGGCGCGUAGGCGGCCAUUCAAGUGACGGGUGAAAGCCCUCGGCUUAACCGAGGAACUGCCUGUCAGACUGGAUGGCUUGAGACCGGGAGAGGUGAGUGGAAUUCCCAGUGUAGCGGUGAAAUGCGUAGAUAUUGGGAGGAACACCAGUGGCGAAGGCGGCCUGCUGGGCAGUAGCUGACACUGAGGCGCGACAGCGUGGGGAGCAAACAGG